GUGGGGAAUAUUGGACAAUGGGCGAAAGCCUGAUCCAGCAAUGCCGCGUGAGUGAUGAAGGCCCUAGGGUUGUAAAGCUCUUUUACCCGGGAAGAUAAUGACUGUACCGGGAGAAUAAGCCCCGGCUAACUCCGUGCCAGCAGCCGCGGUAAUACGGAGGGGGCUAGCGUUGUUCGGAAUUACUGGGCGUAAAGCGCACGUAGGCGGUUACUCAAGUCAGAGGUGAAAGCCCGGAGCUCAACUUCGGAAUUGCCUUUGAAACUAGGUAACUAGAACGUCGGAGAGGUGAGUGGAAUUCCGAGUGUAGAGGUGAAAUUCGUAGAUAUUCGGAAGAACACCAGUGGCGAAGGCGGCUCACUGGACGACUGUUGACGCUGAGGUGCGAAAGCGUGGGGAGCAAACAGG
rnacentral:rRNA from 1 species